rnacentral:rRNA from 1 species
GACGAACGCUGGCGGCGCGCCUAACACAUGCAAGUCGAACGGAGUCACGAGGAGCUUGCUUUUCUUGACUUAGUGGCGAACGGGUGAGUAACGCGUGAGUAACCUGCCCUGGAGUGGGGGACAACAGUUGGAAACGACUGCUAAUACCGCAUAAGCCCACGGAUCUGCAUGGAUCUGCGGGAAAAGGAUUUAUUCGCUCUAGGAUGGACUCGCGUCCAAUUAGCUAGUUGGUGAGGUAACGGCCCACCAAGGCGACGAUUGGUAGCCGGACUGAGAGGUUGAACGGCCACAUUGGGACUGAGACACGGCCCAGACUCCUACGGGAGGCAGCAGUGGGGGAUAUUGCACAAUGGGGGAAACCCUGAUGCAGCGACGCCGCGUGGAGGAAGAAGGUUUUCGGAUUGUAAACUCCUGUCGUUAGGGACGAUAAUGACGGUACCUAACAAGAAAGCACCGGCUAACUACGUG